UGGGAGCCUUACCCCGGAGGAGGGAUUUGCCAAGUAUUUGUUAAAUGAAUGAAUGAAUGAUUUUGUAACUGUAGCUCAAGAAGAGUUAAGUAGUGAGAAAGUUAAGGGCAAGAACUUUUCUCCUUCCCUUGCUCUGUGGCUCACUUGACUGGGUGCCAGAUGCUGUGUACUGGGAAUAAUAGCACAAUAAUGAACCAAAUUAGCCAUUGGAGGUAGCGUGCACCUGCAAUACCAGCUACUGGAAGGCUGAGGCAGGAGGAUUCCUUGAGUCUAAGAGUUUUGAAUCCAGCCCUGGCAACAAAGGAGGACUCCCUUCUCAAAAAAAUUGGUGAAGAUGAACCAAACUCAUAUCACAGUUCCUGCCUUUGUGGAGUCAGCAUUUUAGUUGAAACAAAAUGGGGAAAACAAAGAAUUCCUACACCAAAAAUAUAAAAUGUUGACCUAUUAGAUAACAUGAUGAAGGUGUGGAAGGAGAUAUACAUGCAGCUAUGAUGAGGGGUAUUAGAGAAAUGAUGAACAAACUGAGCAAUAGGAAGAUCAGUGUUUUAUUGGGGUGACAGAAAGAAAGGGGUUGACAUACCAAAAUGAAACAUGCACUGGCGACUGCGGGCGAGAAAGCCCAACCUGAAAAUUAGACAAGUGCAGCCAAGUAUCCAGGGAGUAGGUUCCGGUGGUGACUAAUGAGGCUGGCCGAUAAUGGACCUGGUGGGCCACAUUAAGGAUUUGAACCCCUGUAGCAGCACAGGAUACUAGUUAGUUGGGCAGUUGGGGUGGAGCUUGAAAUAAACUGUAAACCAUAUAGUACACCCCUAAUGACUGAUGUGUAGUCUCCAGGCAUACCUGAUCAGAAGAAGAGGUGGGAUAGGGAAAGUGUGUUGUAUUUUCUCAAGCUGUAUUUUUAGGCUGAAUCUUCACUUAGGCCUUUGAUGUUACAAGUUAAGUAAUGACUCAUACACAGAUAAGCACAGUUCCAAAUAGGGAAGCUUGCUGAGUCAUUGAAACAGCUUGCUUUAAAUUAAAGAUAAAAGACUCUUACCUUGGAUUAUAAAUCAAGAAGCAUAAACCAAAGUUUUUUUUCCCCCCACUAAUGUAUGCCCAGUGCCUACUUCCUAAUAGUUGCUUAAAUACAUAAAGAUGUAGGGGCUGGGAAUGUAGCUCAUGGGAGACACUUGCCCGGAAUUCACAAAAGCCCUAAGUUCUCUCCCCAAUACCACCCCUGGAAAAAGACUUUCCGUAGAAAAAUU
rnacentral:lncRNA from 1 species